GUUCCUGUAGUUUAAUGGAUAAAACGGGGACCUCCUAAGUCUCAGAUGGUGGUUCGAUUCCACCCGGGAACACCA
rnacentral:tRNA from 1 species